rnacentral:rRNA from 1 species
GGUAUUGACCCCAUCAGUGACGAAGCAAACGCGUUAAGUAUCCCGCCUGGGGAGUACGGUCGCAAGAUUAAAACUCAAAGAAAUUGACGGGGGCCCGCACAAGCGGUGGAGCAUGUGGUUUAAUUCGAUGCAACGCGAAGAACCUUACCUGGGUUUGACAUCUACUGGAAGACUCUCAGAAAUGAGGUCGCCUUCGGGCCGGUAGACAGGUGCUGCAUGGCUGUCGUCAGCUCGUGUCGUGAGAUGUUGGGUUAAGUCCCGCAACGAGCGCAACCCUCGUGUUUAGUUGCCAGCAUUCAGUUGGGCACUCUAAACAGACUGCCGACGUUAAGUCGGAGGAAGGUGGGGAUGACGUCAAGUCCUCAUGGCCUUUAUAUCCAGGGCUACACACGUGCUACAAUGGUCGGUACAGAGGGAAGCCAAAUAGUAAUAUGGAGCCAAUCCCCUUAAAGCCGAUCUAAGUUCAGAUUGAGGUCUGCAACUCGACCUCAUGAAGGUGGAAUCGCUAGUAAUCGCGGAUCAGACGCCGCGGUGAAUACGUUCCCGGGCCUUGUACA